rnacentral:sRNA from 12 species
ACCGUGCCGGGCGGUGCCGCAAGGCGUAUCCCGGAUGAGGAUAAGACGGUGAGUGCCUCACAUCGGAAAACCCCGUCAGGC